rnacentral:rRNA from 1 species
UACGGAGGGUGCGAGCGUUAAUCGGAAUUACUGGGCGUAAAGUGUGCGCAGGCGGCCGAGCAAGUCGAGUGUGAAAGCCCCGAGCUUAACUUGGGAACUGCGCUCGAAACUACUUGGCUAGAGUGUGGCAGAGGGAGGCGGAAUUCCGGGUGUAGCGGUGGAAUGCGUAGAGAUCCGGAAGAACACCGGUGGCGAAGGCGGCCUGCUGGGCAGUUUUGCUGACACUGAGGCGCGACAGCGUGGGGAGCAAACAGG